AAAUCCGACGGUUGUGAUAUGGCGCGUGAAAAUAAGAGAAACUGAACCCAAUUAAAAGAAUGAGCUCCUGCGUUUCUCUCUCUUGGCUUGCGCUCUUUUCCAUGGCGGAAAUUUAACUUCUCAAAAUCAAUUGUUCCCCUAAUUUUGGUUCUCAGAUCGCGUAAUUUCAGAUGACAACAACUCCCCCAGCAUGAAGAUUCCUAAAUGUUCCAUUCUUCCAUUCCAUUCCAUGGUUGCUAGAGCAGAGGUGUCCUCGUCUGAUAUUCUGUUAAAUGGGGAUUUAAGAUUUUCAGAAUUUAUGUAUGUCGGGGACCUGUUUGUUGGUUUGUACGAGUUAGUACAACAGACGUAGGAGCUUCCGAGCUUAUCGCCUUAAAUUUGUGGUUGCUGCUACUGUUGGGCUUUCAAGGCUUUUUAGGCAGAUUUUUUGGCGUAAAUCACUUUUUGUUGUGAUGGACGAUGGUGGUUGCAGCAGGUGGGGGUGGACAAGAGGACGAGAAGAGUUAAAAGGAGAAGAAAGCGGUGAAGCUGACACCAAUUUAUCUAUAGAGUAGAUGCUUAAUGUACCCAAAGUUGAACAUUGAUGUAUCUGGCUCUAAGGUUUUAUGAACGUAGUUUCUUUACUUGUAAUUAGUUAUAGAUGAUCUUUUGCUCAGUUUUUUUGCAUUUUCUAUCUCCUCUUCAUUUCUCUGUUUUUUAAAGUUGAGAUGAUGUUGAUUAGGGUGUUACAAUCUCGGCUAAAGAAUAUUUACUCAUUUCAUUUUCUAUCUCCUCUUCA